AUAAAUAUAAUGAAACAGAGGGAGUAUUAGUUUGUUAGCAAAAUUUUAUAUUUAAAUAUCAAAUUUGGUUACAAUUAAUAUAUAAUAAUUAAAAAUAAAAUUCACAACUUUAUACCUUUAUGUUGCCAAUCAGAUUUUAACCGCCAAAAUUUUUACAGCCAAAAUCUCUACAACCAUAGUCUUUACAACCAAAAUUGACAGUUAUUACCAAUCGGCCCUAAACAUAACUUUUGAGGGGCUCACUGGUAUUGAUCAGAUUCCUUUUGGAAGUGAAAGGUGAUUUUUCUAACUUCCUAAUGAUGUCUUUACUAACUUCC
rnacentral:sRNA from 1 species